rnacentral:rRNA from 1 species
CACGGGGGUUGCGAGCGUUGUCCGGAAUUACUAGGCGUAAAGGGCAGGCAGGCGGAUCCAUAAGUUUAUCGUUUAAGGCGUCGGCUUAACCGGCGUAGGGCGGUAGAUACUGUGGAUCUGGAAUGCGGUUGGGGAAGACAGAAUUCCUGGUGUAGCGGUGGAAUGCGCAGAGAUCAGGAGGAAUACCGAAGGCGAAGGCAGUCUUCCAAGCCGUUAUUGACGCUCGACUGCGAAGGUGUGGGUAUCAAACAGGAUUAGAUACCCCGGUAGUCCCUGAGCGGG